rnacentral:rRNA from 1 species
UCGUUAACGAACGAGACCUCGACCUGCUAACUAGUCUGCAUAACGCCUUCGUUGCGUUGUGUAGUUUUACUUCUUAGAGGGACUAUCGGUUUCAAGCCGGUGGAAGUUCGAGGCAAUAACAGGUCUGUGAUGCCCUUAGAUGUUCUGGGCUGCACGCGCGCUACACUGACAUGUUCAUCGAGUUUUUUUUCUUACCUUAACCGAUAGGUUUGGGAAAUCUUUGAAAGCAUGUCGUGAUGGGGAUAGAUUAUUGUAAUUUUUAAUCUUCAACGAGGAAUUCCUAGUAAUCGCAUGUCAUUAACGUGCAAUGAUUACGUCCCUGCCCUUUGUACACACCGCCCGUCGCUAUUACCGAUUGAAUGGAUUC